ACGGAAGGCAGCAGUGGGGAAUAUUGCACAAUGGGCGAAAGCCUGAUGCAGCGACGCCGCGUGAGUGAAGAAGUAUCUCGGUAUGUAAAGCUCUAUCAGCAGGGAAGAAAAUGACGGUACCUGACUAAGAAGCCCCGGCUAACUACGUGCCAGCAGCCGCGGUAAUACGUAGGGGGCAAGCGUUAUCCGGAUUUACUGGGUGUAAAGGGAGCGUAGACGGUUUGGCAAGUCUGAAGUGAAAUGCGGGGGCUCAACUCCUGAACUGCUUUGGAAACUGUCGAACUAGAGUGCAGGAGAGGUAGGUGGAAUUCCUAGUGUAGCGGUGAAAUGCGUAGAUAUUAGGAGGAACACCAGUGGCGAAGGCGGCUUACUGGACUGUAACUGACGUUGAGGCUCGAAAGCGUGGGGAGCAAACAGGAUUAGAUACCCUGGUA
rnacentral:rRNA from 1 species